GACGAACGCUGGCGGCGUGCCUAAUACAUGCAAGUAGAACGCUGAAGGAGGAGCUUGCUUCUCUGGAUGAGUUGCGAACGGGUGAGUAACGCGUAGGUAACCUGCCUGGUAGCGGGGGAUAACUAUUGGAAACGAUAGCUAAUACCGCAUAAGAGUAGAUGUUGCAUGACAUUUGCUUAAAAGGUGCAAUUGCAUCACUACCAGAUGGACCUGCGCUGUAUUAGCUAGUUGGUGAGGUAACGGCUCACCAAGGCAACGAUACAUAGCCGACCUGAGAGGGUGAUCGGCCACACUGGGACUGAGACACGGCCCAGACUCCUACGGGAGGCAGCAGUAGGGAAUCUUCGGCAAUGGACGGAAGUCUGACCGAGCAACGCCGCGUGAGUGAAGAAGGUUUUCGGAUCGUAAGGCUCUGUUGUAAGAGAAGAACGAGUGUGAGAGUGGAAAGUUCACACUGCGACGUAUCUACCAGAAAG
rnacentral:rRNA from 1 species